GACGGGGCCCGCACAAGCAGCGGAGCGUGUGGUUUAAUUCGAUGCAACGCGAAGAACCUUUACCAAGGCUUGACAUGCCAGAAGUAGGAACUCGAAAGAGAGACCACCUGUAUCCAGUCAGGAACUGGCACAGGUGCUGCAUGGCUGUCGUCAGCUCGUGCCGUGAGGUGUUAGGUUAAGUCCCUGCAACGAGCGCAACCCUCGUCGCUAGUUAAAUUUUUCUAGCGAUACUGCCCGUAAAACGAGGAGGAAGGUGGGGAUGACGUCAAGUCAGCAUGGCCCUUACGCCUUGGGCUACACACACGCUACAAUGGGUGAUACAACGGGUUGCGAGAGAGCGAUCUGGAGCUAAUCCCUAAAAUCAUCCUCAGUUCGGAUUGCAGGCUGAAACUGCCUGCAUGAAGUUGGAGUUGCUAGUAACCGCAGGUCAGCACACUGCGGUGAAUACGUUCUCGGGCCUU
rnacentral:rRNA from 1 species